GAAUGAGGAAGAGAGAAACCUGAUCCCUUUCUCACACUGAGAGCCAGACUUAAAGCAACUAUAGGAGGUAGCUUUGUAAAUCAAUCCUCUUGAACUCUGCUAGGGAAAGGGGAUGGGCUGUUCCAGCAAAAUGUGCCACUGUAAGGUAUUGAUCAUUUUGGACAGGAUCUGUUUAGAAGCCAGUGUUUUAAAGAUGGGCAUUGUCUGGGACAACUCUCUUCCCUUCCCCCUCCAACCCUAUUACAUAUUCCCUAACCCUGAAAGUCUCACUCUAGAUUAUUUACUGCAAUGGCCCUGUUUGAGUCAAGAAAUAGGACAUGGGCAGGAGGAGAGGAGGGAUUGAUUGAACAUUUUCAAUUAAAACAAGCUGUCUUUGAACAAAGAUUUAAAAUCCAGGCAAGAAAGGCAAUAAUUCUCUUGGCUGGAAUGCUUUCCACUGUAUUGUAGAAUUAAGAGAUAAAAAAUUGGGGGUGAAAACUCCCAACUAUUCAUUAUAAACAAAAAUCUCAAGAUGGUCUGUAAGUUAAAAAUCUCAUCAUUUUCUGGUUCCUAUGUAGGUCAUUGAUCUCUUUCUCAAAAAUGGCAGGGUAUAGCCAGCCACAUGGGGAAGAUGGAAUCAAGACACUUAAAGCAAUAAACCAGGAGAAUUCAGCUGGGAUUGUCCAAAACUUGGACUGAUUCUGUGACUUUCAUACAGAGGUCUUUUGAAAAAAAGGGCAGGUGUAAGUAUCCCCAGCCUCCUAUUUAAUGGGGACCUUCAACAGGUAAUGAAGGUUUGAACAUUUACUGUUCAUUCUCAUUCAUUCACUCAUUCCUUCACGCAUCCAUUCAAAUGUUUGCUGGGCUCCUCCCAUGUAUAUACUGCUAUGAAGAGGACAGGGAUUGGGGUUAAAGGAAAAUUGGACAAAUACACUUUAUAGCCUAGAGAAGGAAACUGACAUGUUCCAGUUAACUAUAUUACCUGAGAGGCUGUUGCACUGUCAUCUUCAGAAAAGCAGGAACUAUUUUUUUUUUAAAGUUUACUCCACAAUGCAUACAGUGUAGUUACUAUCACCUAUCCUUACCAAAGCCCUGCAAAGUCAAAGUACAAUUCUACAUUAUAUUUCACAGAUGAGGACAUUGAAAACAAGAGAGUUUGCAUAACUAAUUCAGUCUCAUGGCAUGAAUGUAACAAAGGUAGCAUAUGAACUUCAGUGUCUUCUAACAGCGUGCAUAUGUUGUUUCCCUUCUUGAGUGUAAUCAUAAAUUCGAACACAAAAUUCUGUGGAUGUGUGGAAGGAGACUGAAUUCCAAAUGGAGGAAUUAUAAAAAGCUUCAUGGAGGUGCACAUACAACAAAGAUUUGAAGGACAAAGACAGGUCUUAAAGUGGGAGGAAGAGAAAGACAAGUAUCAGCAGAGAAACGGAGUGUGGCCAGGCACAUGACAUGAAAUAACACAGAAAAGGGUCCGAGGGCCCAUGUAGCUAAACGUGUAGAGUGGAAUGUGAUGCUGAAAUAUUAGGCUAGAGACAAGUGAGUGAAGGCUUUGAAUGUCAAGUUAAGAAACUUAAACUUCUAUUCUGUAGGCAAUAAAAGCCAAUGAACAUAUAUGGGUUGUAUUUGUCACUCAUUUAGUCAAUGUAUAUUUACUGAUCAUCUACUAUGUUUAUUAUGUUCAGGCUUUUUGGAAGGCUCAGGGUAUACUAUGGUUAAAAUCAAAGAAGACAAAACCAAGACAAUGGUUCUUAAGUCUAGAAGCAGAGAUAAAUAGCGAGGUAGUAAAACAAACAAAUCAAAAAAACCACACACACAUAUUGCACUUAAUAUAGUACUAUGAAGAAAAUGCACAGAGUCUGUACCUGCAGAUAAUGCAGGCAUGGGAAGGCCUCUCUGAGGAAGAGAUAUGAACUGGGAGUGAACAGUGACUGCAGCAGUACCUAUGAAGGGGAAGGGUGUCUGGGAAGGGUCCUCAGCUGAGAGACAGAAACUGGAAGAGGGCUGGCGGAGGGUGAUGGGCAAGGGCUAGAUCACCAAGACCUCUGGGCCACCUUAAGGAGUCUGGACUUUCUUGGUGAAUGGGAAGCUACUGAAGAGUUUGAAGCAGGAAAGUGACACCAUCUUAUUUUUAUUUCCAAAGGUCACUGCUGCACUAAAAGAGAAGGCAAGAGUGGAAGCAGGCAGAGUAGCCAGGGACGACUGCAAUGGUCCAGGAGAGGACAAGGGAGACCCCGGCUGUUCAGAGGCAGUAGAGAUGGGGAGACAUAUUUGUGGGAAGAGCCAACAGGACCUGCUGCCAGGUUGGAUGUGGGGCCCAAAGGAGAGGAAGGAGUGAAGGAUGACUCCUUCAUCUUUGGCUUUAGCAGCUGGGUCAAUGGGGUGCCCUGAUCUGGCAUUUGAAAGAAUGAGGCAGUAAGAGCUUCAGGGGAGAGAGUAGGAGGUCAGUUCAGAGCAUGUUGGGUUUGAGCUACAAGACAUUAAGUAUCCAGGGUCUGAAUCAGAAAUGGGGAAAAAAAUCAGAAAAUGGGAAUUGUUUCUGAAUUUUCAGCUCUUUGGGAUUAUUCAUGCUACAAAUUCUUGCUGACUGUGCAGUGUGUUCCAUUCUGCUCAGCUCUCCACCUCUUCCUGUCUGCUCUCAGGGUGUCCCAAGGGCUUUAGGAGAAUGGCAAUAACUGAAGGAUCCUCUGUUCUCCUGUCUCAGGGCCUCAGAUCUGGGGCCUUGAGUGUGCACACAAGUGGGAAUCAAGAGACCAACAUGGUUUUCAUCAUUAACUAGCCAUGUGACCUUGGGCCAUUUCCCUUCACUGGGCCUAACUUCUCUGUGGGUAAAUGUGGUCUCUCGAGUCCUUUUUCAGCUAACACGGUAUAUUCAAGCAAAGCCUUCAAUACAAUAAGCUUAUGAGAAAUCCUAUCCUCAUUCUUUCAUUCACAAAUAUAUAUGGAGAACUGAUCAUGUGCCGUUAUUUUAGACACUUGACAUAUACAGUGAACAAAACUGACAAAGACCUCUGUCUUUAUGGAGUUCAAAUUCUAGCUAUGGAAAACAAGCUGUAGACCUAAUAAUACAUGUGUAAAUUAUAUAGAAUGCUGGAACGUGGUAAGUGCUAUGGAGUAAAGAUAAAGAAUAGGGUAAGGGGAGGGCUGGGGACAAGGAGAAGAUCACAGCAUUAAGUAGAGCGCUCAGAGAGGCCUCCUUGAGAAGGUGGGGUGGGGAUGGGCUUGGGGAGGUGAAGGUGCUGGCCAGCAUCAAAGCGGAGUUAAUCCUCCUCAUCUGAAACACAGCCCUGACCGGUCAUUUCACAAUUAGACUCUUGCUAAAUCCAACCCAAUCCCAAACUGGGGAUAAUAAUCAACCUCAGGGAUGAGUCCUCCCUCGUGGGGUCAGGAACACCUCUUUCGUAGCAAUGGCUGUUUUUUGUCUGCAGGUCCAGGUCCUCUUCGCCUCCCAGAGCAGCUUCGGCGGAGACAAGUCUCACACACAUCCUCUCGUCUGGCCUGUGGCCUCCCUUCCCUGCCCUGCUCCUCCCCUUGUGGACUCAUCUCUGAAGCCUUCUUCAUACUUCUCACUCCCUGCAACUCUUCUAGAACCCUCAGCAAGUUCAGCUGGCCUAACUGCACUAAAGGGUGCUGAGCUCUGCCCCGCUCCUCAGACAUAAUAUCCCACUUCUCCUUUCCCCCUACUUGUGGGCCAUGGCAGCUCUGGUUACCAUCCCUAUUUUGCAGAUGAAAAAUCAGAAGUCACUUGUCUGAUGAGUCACAUCAAGUAUUGGCGCAAGGAGGAUUGAAACCCAUUUGUUCAUUUAUAUAUUCAUAUUAAGUGGUUUCUAUGUGACAGACACUGUUCUAGGAGCUAGGAUACAACAAAGAGAAAACAGACAUAUCUCUGUCCUCAUAAAGGUCUUUUCUUGCCAUUAUCCUGCUUCCAAAUAAGAAAAUUGAACUCCUACCUGCUCCGUGUUUGGAAACUCCCACCUAGAAUUCAUUUUCUGCUCAUACUCCUGCCCCUCCCAGCAACAGAUGAUCACCAUUAAAGGGGGAAGAUUAAUUGUGCAGAGGGAUAGGCCAAGGAAAAGUGAUUUCUCUUUGGUAAGGCUGACAGCGCUGCUAGAAUAUUAAAAGGCACCUGCCUAGGAGCCUCUAGGGAAGGCCAGAAGAAAAAUGUGACAAUGAAAUAGCUUUUGUCUCUGCCUCCCUACCAAUCCUCCCACAGUGUCGGACAAGUGCAUGACUAAACAGAUGAAUCCUUCUCUGAAGCGCAGUGUGGAGGCUGCCGAUGUAAUUGCAGAGUCCUUUCCCAUUGCAGGCAAGUCCGGGGGCACCCCCUAGGUAAGAAGACCUGUAAAGGAGAGGAGAGGAGAGAGGAAAGGGAGAUGGAGAAAGAGAGAAAGCGAGAAAGAGAGAGAGAUGGAUUAGAGAGUCAGGGAUGGACAGCAGGAGAGAGGAAGAGACAAAGAGGCCGCAGAGGCAGAGACUAGAAGCGAAAGAGAUGCAAACCAACAGAAAAAUACAGAGAAACUGGUCAGGAUGAAGCAAGAAGAUAAGGAGAGAAGGAUAAUCAGAGAGGCUGAGAGAGACUCAGGCUUGAAAACUGAGAAGAAAUGGGGUGGGGGCAGAGAGAGAAAAAUGGAGCAAAUGACAGAAAAGGAAAGAAUCAAACUGAAAGAGGCGUGAGAGAGAUACAAAUGUAGGCAAUAGGAGAAGGGAGGGAGAGGGGAAAGAAAGGCAAAAGAUGAGAUAGAAAGAGACAAAAGGAAAAAAUGCAGAGAAGCACAGCCGCAGAGGACAGACUGUAAAUGAGAUGUGUAAGACUGAAAUAGCGACAGGAACAGUGAGAGACUGAGAAGGACUGAGAGAAGAAGGUGGAGAGACACAGACGGGGACGGGAAGUGAGGCCUUUUUUGAUGGGCGAAAUGCAAUUCCACAGAGUAGGUAUUUCCUGAGAGGCUCACUUCACGGAGGAGGCUGGAGAUGAAUGCUUAUACGGAAAUUGUGGGAAGAGUGUCCAAUUCAUCACAGAAUGAAUUAAAGUUUGGGUUUCAGGACCACAAUUGCAUACAACGACCAACUCUUGUGGAGCUCACAAGGGAAGAAAGGCAGUAAACCAACCAACAAAUACAGUAUAAGAUUGAAAUCCAGGUGACUUGGAGGAAAAGUAAGACUUGGCCAGGUAAAGCUGAAUGGCAUGAAACGGCAUCCUGAAUAAAGGCAGAGGCAUGUGCAAGCAUGCUGAGGCAUGACGAUCCCUUCAAAGAUGUUUGUCAUGGCUGGAAUAUCUUCUAAAAGAUGAAGAAGGAAGUAAGAGAAAAAUGCAAGCACAGAUCAUCAUGAAUGCCUUGUGUGAUGUUAUGAGGUGAUUUCUCCUGUGACCCUGGUGAAGGGGGAUUUGGAGGGGACCCAGACUACAGACAGGAGGAAACAUCCUGGUCCAGGGAGAAUGGCCAAGAUUAUCUCAGGAUUUCAUGAAGAGGAGAAAUGGAGGUCAUUUCCUAGAGAUUAAUGGAGAAUUUGAUUGUGAGAAGAAAAUUGUUUAAGGAGCAGGGGUGGGUGUGGAGGCAAAUGUCACACACUCCAGAAGGUAAAGUGAGCUGGCUCUUCCCCUCUUACUCCUUGGAAAGAGGGAAAGCUCAUCAGAGCCAGGACCCUGGAAAAGUGAUGUGAUGAAGAGAAGGAGGCCCUGAAUAGCACCAUCUGAAAGGCAUUUCCAAGGAAGCCAGGGAUGUGACUCUGUCUUGGUUGCAGAGAUCAAAAGGUUUUGUGAAGGAAGCAAUGGCUCUCUAGCCCCCUUCUGGGUGAAUUCUGGGGUAGAGGGAUCCGGUUCCUUUGAUAACUGGUUAGUUAUAGCUAUAGGGUGAAGCCAGUUGAGUCAUAUUGGUCUGGGCUUCCAGAGACACAAGGUCUUCUUGAACCAUAAGCUCUCUGAACAAUGCCCCACCUAGGCAGAGCAGAGAACCCUGAACUUUUGCCUGGAGAGAACAAAGAAGUGCACGUCUUGGGAGCCACCAGACCUGGGACUACCCAUUGGACCCCUAACCUCCACUGUUCUUGGCCUGUCUCUCUUUCCCAUUAGAUUGUGAGUUCUUUGAGGACAGAGACUACCUCUUCUCCAUCCUUGUUUCCCUAGCCUAAUACACCAUCAAAUAAUGCUGCAGAAAGAAAAAGUAAAGGAAUAAAUAAAUAAACCUUAGAUAAGUGGUCCAUCCACUAAUCCUCAAUUCCUGAUUAGUAAAAUGAGAAUAACAAUAGCUACUAACAAAAGUAUUGUGUAGACUGUACGACUUAAUGAAUGUGAAAGCACCUGGUAUGGAAUUUAACAUAAAAUAGAUAAUCAAAAAUACAUUA